CAGUAAAUAAGUUCUAAUCAUCUGUAUUCUUUUACAUGUUGAUUUGAGAUUUUUUACAAACUGCUGUCCUAUUUAUUCAGUUGUUCCAAUCUGUUAUUCCCCAGCUUUGCAAGUACAGAUUAAGUCUAAGUUGUUAUAAUUAGGAUCCAUGAUAUAAUUAGCGCUAUUCAAUAUUAUCAAAUUUGCGUGUCAUAUGGUCACUACAAUUAGCCAUGAGAAGGACUCAUGGUAACUGUAGCUCAUUUUCAUUAGGCUACUCCAUUAACCUUAAUAGGGACAAACUUAUUAGCCUUCACAUGAUACUACUUGAUGAAAAGGUGUUUUAUCAGUACAUUUGUAUGAUUUUCUUGCUACUAUAAGUUAAUAGUAGUUAUUAUAACUCCUAAGGUAUAUUUGAACUGCAUUAUAAUUCUUUCAGGGCACUAUGAUAAAUGGGAACGAAGGAAACAUAUGGUUAACAUGUUGAGGCCAGUUAUCCAAGAAGGUCCAGUCCACCGCUAAUAUAUAUUAGAUUUCUAGGUUGCCUUCUAUCAAGAACUCUGGAGUGUCCGCUGCAUGGCCUAGCAAGGAGCAGCUCAUCGUCGUCUCUCACAUCUCGACCGUGGAAGCAUGUAUGAAUGUGUGGAACCGGCAUGCCGGACGCAAGCUCAGAACCAGUCACGAGCGGAUGUUCAUGUCAUGGAUGCAUGUCUCGAGCGCUCUUAACUACCAUCAGAAUAUCUAUAGCAAGCAUAACAGCGUGGUUAUGGCUCACGAAAUCAGGAUCACCAUCUCUCUGCAACUCUGGAGCAUCUGCUGCAUAUGCUAGCAGGAGCUGCCCACCAUCAUCUCUCACAUUUCAACCGUGGAUGCAUGUAUGUAUGUAUGUGUGGCAGCGGCAUGCCGGACGCAAGCUCAGAACCAGUCAUGGGCGCAUGUUCAAGUCAUGGAUGCAUGUCUCAAGCGUUCUCAACUACCAUCAGAAUCUCUAUAACAAGAAUAACAACAUGGUUAUGGCUCAUGAAUUCAGGCGAUCUGGAAAGGGAUGCUGGUGACAGUGGAAGGCAUCCGGCAUCUUGCCGGGACAAACUUUCAUGUGCCGAGCAAAGAAUGUUUUGAAGCAAAUUCAUACGUUGGCCAAUGGACUGCCCCCUUGGAGUUUGAAUCAACAACAGAAUGCCACCAGUGUUUUAGUUAUGUCCUCUGUACAUUAACCAGUGGUUGAGAUGAUAGUUCAGAACAAUCGCAGUGCUGGAGAUUCGAUCACUCUUUGCAUUCUUUAGAAUACAAGAUUUUGAAGUUCUCAAGUUCACUAAAAACUAUGGCGAGACAAAAUGUUGAGUGCCGAGCAAAGCAAGUCUUAUAGCGAAUUAUACGGUGCACAUGGCCAAUGGAGUGCUCCCUUAUAUAUUUUUUCUUUUGAGCUCUAAUGUACACGUGCGCAUUCUCUAUUCUAUAGUUAUAUAUUUCGUUCUCAAGUUGCAAACUGAAUGCGCUUUCAAAAUUGAUCCCCUAGGCGACUUCUAAAACUUUGAAAUAGCUAGAAUUUUAGUUGCUAAAUUUCUUCAGUAGUUUUAGUUAACUUUUUCAGCAACAACGAAAUUCCACCAGUGUUUUAGUUAUGUUAUCUGUACAUUUACCAGUGGUUUAGAUGAUAGUGCAGAACAAUCUCAAUGCUAGAGAUUGAAUCACUAUUUGCAGUCUUGAGGAUGGAAGAUUUCGAAAAUAAGAAAAAAAAUCGAUAGAGUGUGCUUGCCCAUAUCAGAUUCUUCUAUUCAUUUAAUUAUUUCUCUGCUGCUACACUUAUAUAUUAGGUUUCAGAGUUUGUAGAUUUCUGCAGGU